CUUUUGUGGGGUGCUCGAGUGGCGAACGGGUGAGUAACACGUGAGUAACCUGCCCUUGACUUUGGGAUAACUUCAGGAAACUGGGGCUAAUACCGGAUAGGAGCUCCUGCUGCAUGGUGGGGGUUGGAAAGUUUCGGCGGUUGGGGAUGGACUCGCGGCUUAUCGGCUUGUUGGUGGGGUAGUGGCUUACCAAGGCUUUGACGGGUAGCCGGCCUGAGAGGGUGACCGGCCACAUUGGGACUGAGAUACGGCCCAG
rnacentral:rRNA from 1 species